rnacentral:tRNA from 1 species
AAAAAGGUCAGCUAAACAGUAAAGCUAAUGGGUUCAUACCCCGUAAAUAGGAUCGUCCUCCUUUUUA